GACGAACGCUGGCGGCGUGCUUAACACAUGCAAGUCGAACGGAAAGGCCCUGCUUUUGUGGGGUGCUCGAGUGGCGAACGGGUGAGUAACACGUGAGUAACCUGCCCUUGACUUUGUGAUAACUUCAGGAAACUGGGGCUAAUACCGGAUAGGAGCUCCUGCUUCAUGGUGGGGGUUGGAAAGUUUCGGCGGUUGGGGAUGGACUCGCGGCUUAUCAGCUUGUUGGUGGGGUAGUGGCUUACCAAGGCUUUGACGGGUAGCCGGCCUGAGAGGGUGACCGGCCACAUUGGGACGGAGAUACGGCCCAGACUCCUACGGGAGGCAGCAGUGGGGAAUAUUGCACAAUGGGCGGAAGCCUGAUGCAGCAACGCCGCGUGCGGGAUGACGGCCUUCGGGUUGUAAACCGCUUUCGCCUGUGACGAAGCGUGAGUGACGGUAAUGGGUAAAGAAGCACCGGCUAACUACGUG
rnacentral:rRNA from 1 species